UUUUGGAGAUGAUGAUUCUUAUCAGAGGUUGUUUCUGAGGUGAGCCAAGAGCAGACCAUUGCUGCAAAAAAACUGAUUUGCCGUUCUGGUCAAAAG